rnacentral:rRNA from 1 species
UGGGGAAUAUUGCACAAUGGGCGCAAGCCUGAUGCAGCCAUGCCGCGUGUGUGAAGAAGGCCUUCGGGUUGUAAAGCACUUUCAGCGAGGAGGAAGGGUUCAGUGUUAAUAGCACUGUUCAUUGACGUUACUCGCAGAAGAAGCACCGGCUAACUCCGUGCCAGCAGCCGCGGUAAUACGGAGGGUGCAAGCGUUAAUCGGAAUUACUGGGCGUAAAGCGCACGCAGGCGGUUUGUUAAGUCAGAUGUGAAAUCCCCGCGCUUAACGUGGGAACUGCAUUUGAA